GGAUCUCGAGGGACUAAGGGGCUUUUCUAUGUAAAGUGAAGGAACAAGUCUAGAAUUUAGGGCUGGGAAGAGCUUUUUGUAUCCAAAAGCUCCUGGUAAAGAAAUCACUAAGUGAAUCCCACCAUGAAAUCACCAUGUGAGGACCAGGAAGGAGUUGCCCUUUGACAUGGAAGUCACUUGCGUGAAGAAAAGAGCAAGGAAGAACAAAUACCUACCUGUGUUCAUCAUCAGGGCACCAGAAUCUCAGAGCCUGUAGCCAACCCUACUGAGUGUAGAAUAUCUUUUCCCUCCCUUCCCACUUAAAAUAGCACCCCAGACCCUCAGGGAUACAAAACAUAAAGAAGCAUCUCCCCUUAGGACUAAGAGCAGAGACCACCUCCCUUCAGGAGGGAUCCACCCAGCACUAAGAAUAUUCUCAGCCUUCCAGAGACCCUUUUAAAGCCCAUCAGGCUCUUGGUGAGCUCCUCCACCUGUGCCAAGGAGGAUCAGCUGCACCCUGCAUCCUCCAUCACACCCUUUGCUCUGUCCACAUCACGUUCCCUUAAAGGGAGCCUACAAAAAAGCUGGUGAGGAACUUUGGACAAGGGUUUCCUUCUGCCAGGGCAGGUGUUUUCCAAAGGGUUUUGGUCUGCAGGGUUGGUGAGUGAGGGGGUCAGGCAUCCCUUCCAAGCCUGCUCCUAUUCCUGCUAAUGGAUGGUGUGCCUUUUUUGGUUGGUGAUGGAGGACAUGGAACUCUUGGAGCAAGUCCAGAGAAGAGCCAUGAAAUUGCUGAGGGGACUGGAGCACUUCCACCAUGGAGUCAGGCUGGGAGAGCUGGGAUUGUUCAGCCUGGGGAAGAGAAGGUUGUAUGGAGGCCUCACAGCAGCUUCCGGGGUCUGAAGAGGCUACUGGGAAGCCGGAGGGGGACUUUUCAUCAGGAACUGGAGUGACAGGACAAGGGGAAAUGGGUUCCAGCUGAAAGAUUUAGACCAAGCUGCAGAAUGGGUCUGGAGAAUGAGCACCAUCCCCUUGGAGAGGCACAAGGACACCAGGCACCAAGACUCUGUCAGCUGAUGUUCCACUGGUGCUCUUCCAUCCAGGAACGCCUUCACCCACUCCGUGUCCAUCACUGGAGACCCCGAGUCACCAAAGGACUGAAAAAUGUCCUUUCUCCCCAGCUUCUGCACAGCUGCUCCCAGGCUCCAGAGUCAAGGAGCUGUGAAUUCCAUGCUGGUUCCCAGCCAUGCUCCUUCCCAUCUCCUCCCAGCAAGGACCAUGUUGUCAUCACUGGUGGCAAUGUCCCCACGUCCCACCUGUUCCCAACCCACAUGGCACAAGCAAGAAUCUUUAAUUCUCCUCCAAAAGAAGCUUCCCAGUAAAAGAUGUGGUCUAAACUGGUGAGGACAUCAAAUGCAUGGUCUUGGUUUUAUUUACAUGACUGAGCCAAGAAGAUAAAUUCCUCAAGGCCAAUCCAUGUCAUUUGUGUCCAGCUUCAUCCCCAAAUUAGUUCUGUUAUUAUGCAGUGCUAGAAAUUUGCCUUUGCCUGGAAUUUAUCCCCACUCUCUCAUUUUUUCUUUGUUAUUUAAUAUUUCUAUGUGGAAGAAAAACAUGCCCUGCUUCCACCAAGAGGGCAGAGAUGGAUACCUGGAGUUGAUCUGGUGGAACGUGGGGGGCUCGGGAACUUUUUUAAUGUUGGAUUUAAGAUCAAUUUUAGCCAUUAUUUGCCAUAUCAAAGUUUAUGAGCUGUGCACAGAAACUUAAUUGCAUCAGAUUUUUCUGUCAGGAGCUAUGCUUUUCUGUCAGAUUUUAUCUCACAACAAAGAAUGGUUCAUGCACUGCUGCUGGCACAUAAGAAUUCAUGAGCAGCUGCUGGGGGAUAACAUUUUCUCCAUCAGCUGCUGAACUUUUUACCUGUACAGAGCAGUGUUGCCAUUGUGCUAGCACAAGAGUAGGGAAGAAAACACCUGAAAACAACCCCAAAAGGACUCUGUUGCACAGAAUUAAGGUCAUUCCAUAAUCAUGCUCCAUCUUAGCCAACUCCCACCAAAAAAAAAAAAAGAAGUGAAAAUAAACUCCUUGAUUUUAUACAUCACUCAUGCUGUGUGCAGAGGUUGUCACACAGUUGUUAUCCCUUACACAGAGAAAAAACCUCUUCAUUAUGUCCCUUCUGUUGGACACAAGCUGCUGCUGUACUAAACCCUCAAUAUAUGCAGCAGAAGGGCAAAUAUAGCAAUAUUUCAUGGAAUAAAGCAAAUAUUCCAUGUGCAAAGUUGUCAGU